GACGGAGGGUGCUAGCGUUGUUCGGAAUCACUGGGCGUAAAGGGCGCGUAGGCGGCCUUGCAAGUCGGUUGGUGAAAGCCCGGGGCUCAACCCCGGGUCGGCCGUGCGAACUGUCGAGCUGGAGCACUGUAGAGGCAGGUGGAAUUCCGGGUGUAGCGGUGGAAUGCGUAGAGAUCCGGAAGAACACCGGUGGCGAAGGCGGCCUGCUGGGCAGUGGCUGACGCUGAGGCGCGACAGCGUGGGGAGCAAACAGG
rnacentral:rRNA from 1 species